UUUUUUUUUUUUUUUUUUUUUUGCCUUUUUGCCAUUUCUAGGGCCUCUCCCAUGGCAUAUGAAGGUUCCAAGGCUAGGGGUAUAAUGGAAGCUGUAGCCACCUUGCCUACACCAGAACCACAGAAACACAGGAUCUGAGCCACAUCUGCAACCUACACCACAGCUCAUGGCAAUGCUGGAUCCUUAACCCACUGAUCAAGGCCAGGGAUCAAACCUGCAGCUUCAUGGUUCCUAGUCAGAUUCACUAACCACUGAGCCAUGGUGAGAACUCCAAAAAGCAGGUUCUUAGUUAAGCUCUGCCAUUUUUGAAAAAAUUCUGGGAAUGUACAGCUGAUGUGUAGUAUUAAUUAGGAAGCAUAGGUAAAGUCCUUAGCCUAGAACCCAGAUAUUCAUUAAAAUGUUCAGCAUUCUAGCACCAAGCAGCUUUACUUACUUAUUCAUUGAAGUAAUUUGCAAGGGCCUUGGUACCUCAGUCAGUAGAGCAUCAGACUUGUAGUCUGAGGGUCCAGAGUUCAAGUUCCUGUCCAGGGGCUGGGUGAAAUAUAGUUAAUGAACAAUAUUACCUUAGUUUCAGCUGUAUUACAUGGUGAUUUGACAUUUUCAUACAUUAUGAAAUGAUCACCACAAUUAUUAAUCUAGCCACUAUCUGUCCCCAAAAGUUUUGACAGUCUUAUGGAUCCUAUUUUUUUGUGCUGUAUAUUAAAUCCCCAUGGUUAUUUUAUAACUGGAGGUUUGUUCCUCUUCAUCCACAUCACCCAUUUCCUCCCUCUCCCCAGGACACUGUCCCCUCUGGCAACCACCAGUUGCUGCUCUGUACUUAUGAGUCUGUUUUCAUUCUGUUUUUUUGAUUUGCUGUUUUGAUUUUGAUAUUUAUCAUUGUCUCUCUGUCUUAUUUCACAGAGCAUUAUAUGUUCUAGAUCAAUCCAUGUCGUUUGAACAUGGUUGUGAAUUGUAAGAUGCACUUAAAUAGUUCCCUUAUGGCCAAGUUUUUGCCAACAAAUUGGCAAACAUUUUUAGUUCCCAGGAUGGGAUGGCACAGACAGUUGUUUUCACUGUUGGUGAUUCAUUUUCAUGGUUUUUAACAUACUGUGUUGACUUCUAAUUGUUUGAAGUAUAGUUUGAAAUCAGGCAGUGUGAUGCCUACAGUUCUGUCCAUUUUGCUCAAAAUGGCUUUGAUUUUGUGGGUCUUUUGUGGUUUCAUAUGGAUGGAAUAAAUGAUGGUGAUGGGAUGUGAGCUCCAACACACUUAAGGGUCAGUGGUGUGUGAUCUCAAGAGCUGAUCCUACUCUGGCACUUUCUUCAGUGGUUGGAGUGGCAGAUUCCAUUGUAGGUUCUUCAAAGUUCAAGGGUGUUCAUGGCCUCUCCUUCUCCUCAUAGGCAGGCAGAGGGAAGACUGAUAUGUCUCUGAUAUGAGACAUCUUAUGGGACUCCAGUUGUUCAAACACUUUUGUCAUUUCACUGGAUCCAUCUCAAGAGGAAGGGGAGAAAUUGGGCAAUUAACUCAGUUGUCUUCUUCUUUAACCUGAUGCUUGGGGUGUGAUCUCUGGUGUCUCAGUCCUGUUGGAAGAGAUCUCACUUAUAAUAUGAAAAAUCACUAAAUGCCUGAAUUUAUAAUUUCUAUACACACAAAAAAAUCUACUGAAUGACUACUAUGUGCCAGGCAAUAUUCUACAUUCUGAGAAUACAAGUUAAAUCAAAAUGUAUCCCCUUAUGGAGUUUAAAUGCUAGCACUCCCGAUACAGCUCAUCAUGCUCCUUUUUUUCCCAUAGGUUUUAACCUUCUAGAACACUGUGAAAUUUAUUUUUUUAAUUGUCAUUAUUUCUUUACUUGGGUGAAUGUUCCAUUGAAGACAUGUUUCUAUGUCUGAAAUAAAUAAAUUCUAAGUUUUCAGUAGGUAAAAACUUCUAUGAAUAAAGAAGUCAUAGAAAGGGAGGAGCAAGAAGUUCCUGUCAUGGCUCAACUGUUAUAAACCUAAUUUCCAUGAGGACAAGGAUUGGAUCCCUGACCUUGCUUAGUGGGUUAAGGAUCCAGCAUUGCUGUGAACUGCAGUAUAGGUCUCAUUAUUGUGAUCUUCAUGAUAGGUCUCAGAUGUGGCUUAGAUCCCAAGUUGCUGUGGCUGUGGUAUAUGCAGGAAGCUGCAGCUCUUAUUCCACCCCUAGCCUGGGAAUUUCUAUAUGCCAUGUGUGUAGCUCUAAAAAAGUAAAAUCAAAAUAAUGGUGGGGGACUAAGAGUGCUGGGGUGGGGUUCAUAAUUUCACACCACAUGGUCUAGGUAGAGCUCAUUGGGAAGGUAGCAUCCAAGGAUGUAGUUGUGGGACAAGAAUGUGAGCCAUGGCACUGCCUGGGCACAAGCGUGGAUAUCAUCACCUAGAAAUACUCUGAGGGGAGAUGUCUCCUGGCCUAUCCCAGGGACAUUAAUGGAGCCUAUGUUUCUGGACAGGAUUAAGUCAUGAGGGAUGGUAGGUGAUUAGUUCAGAUAUAUCAGAGAAACAGAUUGUUAGGGCACUUAAGGUCAUGGUAGGUGUAUUAGUCAAGAUUUUCCAGAGAAGGAUAACAAAUAGGCUGCAGUGUGUGUGUUUAUAAGAGAGAUUUAUGGUGUAACAAUUGUGGCAUUAUGAGAUUGGUGGCAUCUUUGCCAAGGGUUAAAUUAUUCAGUUGCUGCAGCUGUGAUGUAGGUUGCAACUGAGGAUCUGAUCUGAUGCCUGGCCUAGGAAUUUUGUAUGUCAUGGGAUGGCCAAAAAAGAAGAAAAAAGAGAGAAAUUUAUUUUAAAAUAUUGGCUUGGAGUUCCUGUUUGGCUCAGUGGAAUUGAAUCUGAAUUGUAUCCAUGAGGAUAUAGGUUCAAUCCCUGGCCUUGCUGAGUGUAUCAGGGAUCUGGUGUUUCUGUGACCUGUUGUGUAGGACAAAGUCAUAACUCAGAUUGUGCAUUGCUGUGACUGAGGCCUAGCCCAGCAGUGCAGCUAAAUGUGAUCCAUAGCUUGGAAAUUUCCAUAGGUUGUGGGUGUGGUCAUAAAAAGCAAAAGAAAAAAAAGGAAGGGAGGGAGGGAGGGAGAGAGGGAAGGAGGUAUAG
ensembl:lncRNA